UGUUGGUUCUCCCGCAACGCUACUCUGUUUACCAGGUCAGGUCCGGAAGGAAGCAGCCAGAGCAGACGACGUGUGUGCCGGCGCAUUCAUUCCGU
rnacentral:SRP_RNA from 1 species